CAUGAAUUGACUGAGUACAUAUCAAGUCUUACACUGUAUACUUCACAUGCACUAACUCUCCUACUCUUCACAACAAGCAUGCAAGGUGGGAAAAUAGAGGCUGAGAGAAAUUGAGUAACUUGCCUCAAGCCAUAUAUUCGGCACCGAGAUGUGAUCUGAGCCAGAGCCAACAACUGAGGUCCAAACAGCGUGCCUUGCGCAAGGCCACACAAGAGAUAAUGGCAUUGGCUGUACCAGUGGCCCAGAUCCUUCACCUGCAGAAGAGCUUCCCAGAGAGGAGCAAGCCUUCCUGCCGUCACCUCUGGUGUCAUCCUAUAGGACAUUAAAACCAACUCAAGAUUGUGUUGAAAACUGUUUUCCUUUUGAGGAUGCUAAUAAGAACAAGAUCAUAUCAACGGGUAUGGAUCAUGGCAGGAUUUUCCUUCAGCUGAGUCUUUUAAUGAGCCGUUUCAUAAUGAGGGCUGAAUCUACACACAGUAUCUACAUGCU
rnacentral:lncRNA from 1 species